AGGCUCCUCAAGGUACUGUGUCUCAAUGUCUGGACUUGGUGUUCUCUGCCGAUUCUGAGAUUCAUAUGAUUUUGAAUACUACCUGGGUAAUGGACAGAAGAAGAUUAAAGCUUCUGAAGCUUUAGGACAUGGACCCAGGCCUCUUUGACCCAAAGUGGGACACUACCACUGCACCAUAAGCGCCCCCACAGAGUAUGCAGAGAUAUUUUCUAAUGAAUUUGUUCAGAGAUACAUACCUCUGGAACAGAUGGACUCAUACACAGAUCUCCUGGCCCAGAGGUAGAGACACUACCAGUACAUGAUAUGAACUCUAAGAAUUCCUUUAAGAUAUUUUCUAAAUCACCCUAUUCAGGGAUGUUGUCAGACAUGUCUGGAGCAGAUAAGACUUGAACUCUGGCCUCCUGGCUCAGGGGUGGGGAAAUUGAAAUUGGGCCAAGUCGCUUCUUUCAAGGGGCUCUUUGUCUACACGAAUUCACUGCCAAAACAGGAUUGAACCAAAUGCCAGGUUUAACAUGAUUAUGCCUUUGUGGUACUUCAAUGAUAUGUGCAUAAACCAAUAGGGCAUUAUUUAAAAUGUCAAUCAUUUGCAAUUUGAGUAACAUAUUCUUUUGAUCAUUCCAUGAAAUACCCAGAUAAACAGGCUUGAAAUGUCCCUUAUGUUAAUAACAACAUCGUAAGAACAAUUUCUCCUUUUCUGAAUGACUAACGAUGCAAAUGUGCAAUUUCUACGUAAUUGCUGGAUGACUACAUGAUACAACUGAACAAACUGCAGGAGGAGAUAAAGGAAUGAUCAAAGUUCUGUGUUCAAAAGACUUCUAUUCAACUUAAAGCAUCUGGACAAAAAUGUUAAGAAAUGAUCACCUGGAUAUAUAUGUUAAACGAGAAACUGAAAAUUUAAAUAAGAAAACUGAAUCAUCACACGAUUCCUGAAGUUCUUAAAAAGAGGUCAAAAUUACUAAUAUGAAGCCUUUUUUAACCCCAGGAAUAUCUUCAAUGCUAAUGUUAUGAAUUUGGGUAGAGUAUUCACGAAUUGGAAGGCAAGUUAGAAUUUUUUGGUUAAAAAUGAUUGUGGGGUAAAGUGCGUGGUCCCUUUAAGAGGUUGUGCUUUGGAAGUUUAUAAAUGCAGGUGCACAGAGUGCCUGAAUGGAAACAUUUUGUAUUAAACAGCCAAACAGCACUUUUUUUUAAAACCCCAAGACAACAGGUUUGAAUUUGGCCAAUUAAUUUGAACCAAACCACUAGACACAAAGCAAAUUGAAUUUAAAUCUGAUGUUGUUGACAACCUGAAACCCAUCAUUCUAUAAGAAUUGAUUGUCAUUACAUCUAUACAAGACAAGGGUAUUUGGAAAAUCAGGGAGUCACCUGCCAUGGUUAGCACCAUUUAGCUCUCAAAGUACAUCUAACUAAUCAAAGGUGCUGUAGUAUUUCAGCUCAAAGCCCUCUUUUAUGAAAUUCUAUACAUAAAACAUCCCUUCAGCAGAAUUGGUGGAAGAAAGGUGUUUGUAAAGAGAGUGGAGAAGAUUUAAUAUUCUAGAAGAUAAUCUGUGUGAAAAUGGAGAGAUUAAGUUAUAAUUCAUUGUUCUCUUAUUAAUUGGAUUUACUAAAUGGGACUUGUGUUUAUUUGAACAGUAUUCUAUUAGAAUUUAGUUCAGUUAGGAAAUAGGAAAUUGAUCAGUUUGUUACUUCUGUUAAUUUGUUCAUUGUGGGGGCCAAUUAAAUAAAUUGUUUCUUGCUUUUUGUCAAGUGGAGAUCAGGAAUUGCCUUUCUUUUAAGAACUUGUAACAGAUUAUGAGGGGGAAGGAUGAGCUUCUGUGUUCUGUGGAGUUAUGAUUAUAAGGGAAACACUAUUCCUGUCAUAACAGAUUGGGGCUUGUGUUUUAGUAUUUAUCAGGGUAAUUGGCUAUUCCCCCUUCUCUAUUGAGAAAUGAGAUUGAUAAUUCUAACAUAAUUGGGCAAGGUGCUUUGUGCGUAGUUAGGAUUAAAGAAAUGCUAAUUUGAAGUCACUUUUUGACCUUUUAUGAAAAAGGCCAUAUAUGUCACUAAAUCAUUGGAAUAGUUAACUGUUAACUCAUCAGAAAUAAAAUUGAUAAAUUCUUUUCAACCUUCUCUUAACCUUAUCCCUCAUCAUACACUUCUCCGUUCCAGGUUAUUCCUCAGGAGAUCUUUAGCAAGGGGAAAAUUGUUGUACAGUGUUAUCCAAUCCUACACUGUAGGUGAUCCAAUAUCAGUGAUACAGCUCAAGGUGGAUUUCUGGAAGUUGCUAUCAAUAAUUAUGACCACAAAAUCCUGUUUCAUUUUGAUCCCUUUAGCCCUAAGGACUAUGUCUAAUUCCUUCUUAAAUAACUGCUUUCUGUGGCAGAGAAUUCUACAG